rnacentral:rRNA from 1 species
CGGCGGUAAUUCCAGCUCCAAUAGCGUAUAUUAAAGUUGUUGCAGUUAAAAAGCUCGUAGUUGGAUUUCGGAAGGUCCUUAGYAGUCCGCCCCUUCGGGGAGCGGGCUGCUGGCCUCCUAUGUUCCUAACGGUCCUCAUCCGCGAGGGUGGGGAAUCAACCGCUAGGAUCGUUUACUUUGAGGAAAUUAGAGUGUUCAAAGCAGGCGUAACUCGCCUCCGAAUACGUUAGCAUGGGAUAAUGGAAUACGACUUCGGUCUUGUUUCGUUGGUUUCGCUUGGCUGAAGUAAUGAUUGAUAGGGACAGUUGGGGGCAUUAGUAUUUAGUUGUCAGAGGUGAAAUUCUAGGAUUUACUAAAGACUGACCAAUGCGAAAGCAUUUGCCAAGGAUGUUUUCAUUAAUCAAGAACGAAAGUAGGGGGAUCGAAGACGAUCAGAUACCGUCGUAGUCUCUACCGUAAACUAUGCCGACCAGGGAUCCGGAGAGUUUGCAUGGAUGACUCCCCGGGCACCUUGUGAGAAAUCAUAAGUGUUUGGGUUUUGGGGGGAGUAUGGUCGCAAGGCUGAAACUUAAAGGAAUUGACGGAAGGGCACCACCAGGAGUGGAACCUGCGGCUUAAUUUGACUCAACACGGGGAAACUUACGAGGUCAGGACACUGUGAGGAUUGACAGAUUGAAAGCUCUUUCUUGAUUCAGUGGGUGGUGGUGCAUGGCCGUUCUUAGUUGGUGGAGUGAUUUGUC